CCCGCGUCGACUGCGAGGCCCUCCUGACCUCUCCUGCGGUGACACUGAACGGUGUCACUACAAACACCAAGUCACGUGAAGGGUUGUAUGUAUUGUGACGUUUCUCUCUUGUGCUGAAAUGGUGUUUUUCUCCUCCCGGUGGAUCCCCCGAGCUGAGCGGUCCAUUUGUCUCAUCGCCACUCCUGCCCGCUCCUGGGUGCGGUGGCCCUUCUGGGCUGUGUGGGGUUGAGGGACUGUUUGAGGGCAGACGAGGCGUCUCAGGGCUGCAGAGGGGGUGUGACUGCCACCAGCGCCAACCUUGGUCACCAACACAUGGCUGUGGGGGUGUUCUGCUCAGAGGCCAGGAUCGAGGCAUGGUUUGCAUGUGGCUUUUUAAGAUAACCUAGGAAGUAUCUGGGAGUCUUUGAGGGGCCUUGAUAUUUAGAGGGUAUUUGCAUCGUUCUGGACCGUGUACUAUAGACAUGUGUCUGUUACAUCCCAUGUAAACUGGGAGGAAUAUACCACUUAGAGACGGGAGACAGACCGGGGGUUACCUUAGAGACGGGAGACAGGCCAGGACGUACCUUAGAGAUGGGAGACAGGCAGGGAGGUACCUUAGAGAUGGAAGACAGGGAAAGAGGUACCUUAGCGACGGGAGACAGGGAAAGAGGUACCUUAGCGACGGGAGACAGACCGGGGGUUACCUUAGAGAUGGGAGACAGGCCAGGAGGUACCUUAGAGAUGGAAGACAGGCCAGGAGGUACCUUAGAGACAGGAGACAGGCAGGGAGGUACCUUAGAGACGGGAGACAGGGAAAGAGGUACCUUAGCGACGGAAGACAGGGAAAGAGGUACCUUAGAGACGGGAGACAGACCGGGGGGUACCUUAGAGAUGGGAGACAGGCAGGGAGGUACCUUGGAGACAGGAGACAGGAGACAGGCAGGGAGGUACGAGGCAGCCCAUGGGUGGUCUGGGUGGACACCUCUGAGGCCGGGGCUGCCCAGGUCUCAGUCCUGGGCAGGACCCCCCGCCCCGACCCCCGCAGACAUGCCUCCCCUGUGAGCUCUUCUCUUCCUCAACCAAACGCUGCUCCUUGGAAGCUGGUUCGGCAACUGAGUGUUUUCUCACAGACACACACACACACACACAGCUGCAAACACAGACACGCACAAGUGCACACAUAUAAACACACAGAAACUUUCAUACACAAACAAGCACAAACACACAGAUAUACAUAUACACAAGUACAAAUAACACAUAUGCACGAACACAUAUACACCUGCAAACAUAGACCACACACAGGUGCAUGUGUACACACACAGAUAUGCACACAGACAUACACAAAAUGCAUACCUACAUACACACAGAAGCUUUUAUACACAAACAUGCACAAGCACACAUAUGCGCACAAACACACACACCCAAGUACGUACAACCCCCACACACACUGUGCACAGUGCCCGAGGGUGAGGGCUCCGAGAAUUGCUCUGUUAUUUUUAUCAUAAUUCCUUCAGUCCAG
rnacentral:lncRNA from 1 species